GACAGAGGAUGCAAGCGUUAUCCGGAAUGAUUGGGCGUAAAGCGUCUGUAGGUGGCUUUUUAAGUCCGCCGUCAAAUCCCAGGGCUCAACCCUGGACAGGCGGUGGAAACUACCAAGCUGGAGUACGGUAGGGGCAGAGGGAAUUUCCGGUGGAGCGGUGAAAUGCGUAGAGAUCGGAAGGAACACCAGUGGCGAAAGCGGCUUCCUGGUCCAGCAUCGACGUUCAGGCACGAAAGCGUGGGGAGCAAACAGG
rnacentral:rRNA from 1 species